rnacentral:ncRNA from 1 species
AAACAUUGAGGACGGAACGGGCAGCCGUCGCCUUUAUUUGGAGAUGCAGGGAACGUCAUCCUGCCAAUGUUU